rnacentral:rRNA from 1 species
UUUUUAUGAGAGUUUGAUCCUGGCUCAGGACGAACGCUGGCGGCGUGCCUAAUACAUGCAAGUCGUACGCUUUUUUUCCACCGGAGCU